rnacentral:rRNA from 1 species
CCUACGGGGGGCAGCAGUGAGGAAUAUUGGUCAAUGGGCGCGAGCCUGAACCAGCCAAGUCGCGUGAAGGAUGACUGCCCUACGGGUUGUAAACUUCUUUUAUCAAGGAAUAAAGUGAGGCACGUGUGCCUUUUUGUAUGUACUUUAUGAAUAAGGAUCGGCUAACUCCGUGCCAGCAGCCGCGGUAAUACGGAGGAUCCGAGCGUUAUCCGGAUUUAUUGGGUUUAAAGGGAGCGUAGAUGGGUUGUUAAGUCAGUUGUGAAAGUUCGCGGCUCAACCGUAAAAUCGCAAUUGAUACUGGCAGUCUAGAGUACAGUGGAGGUAGGCGGAAUUCGUGGUGUAGCAGUGAAAUGCUUAGAUAUCACGAAGAACUCCGAUUGCGAAGGCAGCUUACUAAGCUGCCACUGACAUUGAUGCUCGAAAGUGUGGGUAGCAAACAGGAUUAGAUACCCGGGUAGUC